UACAGAGGAGCCAAGCGUUGUCCGGAUUGACUGGGCGUAAAGCGCACGCAGGCGGCACCGCGCGUGGGGUGUGAAAUCUGGCCGCUUAACGGCCAGGCGCCAUCCCAUACGGCGGAGCUGGAGUGAUGCAGAGGUCGAUGGAAUUGCCGGUGUAGUGGUGAAAUGCGUAGAUAUCGGGAGGAACACCAGUGGCGAAGGCGACUACCUGGCCCAUUCUUGACGCUGAGGCGCGAAAGCUAGGGGAGCGAACGGG
rnacentral:rRNA from 1 species